GACGAACCGUCCAAACGUUAUUCGGAAUCACUGGGCUUACAGAGUUCGUAGGCGGUCUAGAAAGUUGGAUGUGAAAUCCCUCGGCUCAACCGAGGAACUGCGUUCGAUACUACUAGACUCGAGGGAGAUAGAGGAGUGCGGAACAGAUGGUGGAGCGGUGAAAUGCGUUGAUAUCAUCUGGAACACCGGUGGCGAAGGCGGCACUCUGGGUCUCUCCUGACGCUGAGGAACGAAAGCUAGGGUAGCGAACGGG
rnacentral:rRNA from 1 species